AGCAGGGUGAGGGAGCUGAUCCUUCCUCUCUGCUCUGCACUUGUGGGACUUCAUCUGUAGUAAUACAUCCAGUUCUUGAACAGAAGAGACACGAACCUGUUGGAGCACAUCCAGAGGGCCACUAAAAUGAUCCAAGGGAUGGAACUCUUCCCCUGUGUGUACAGGCUGAGAGAGCUGAGGCUGUUCAGAUUGAAGAAGAGAAGGCUCCAGGGAAACCUGUGGUUAGCUUAUCCUUCAGAUUGUUCAAUGCCCAACAGAAACAGAUGUGAUCCACAAGGAUUCCUGCCAGUACCGAUAGGGAAACAGUUCUUUCUUGUGUGUGAAAAUGCACCUCUUAGAAUUCUUGGGACACUCCUCCAUCUUGACAGGGCAGCCUACUGUCUUGAAUUUCCCAGAGGAGUUGUAUUCAUCCCAAAUUUCCUGUGUUCUGUUAACAAAUUCUCCCUAUUCCCUCUUUUACUGCUAUUCUAUACUUCCUCAAGUGAUGGAAGACUUUAAAGGUAUUUUACUUGUACUGGGCAACGUCCUGCUGAUUUUUCUGCCUUCACAAGUCACUUUUCCCUCAAUCCACUAGGUGAUUUUGGUUGUCUUGCCAAUUGUCUUUACUUUGCUAUACCUUGAAAUACUUCUGUGAUAGCUGUAGAACUACAUAGUGAAUGUCAUCAAGUGCUAUGAAAACCAUCAAAUAAAAAGGAAAACACUGCCUUGUGCGGAUUUAUGAUAUGUGUGUUUUUUUAAAAAAAAAUUAUUUGAUGUUGCUGGCAAAAUUUUAUGGAAAUAUUCUGUUUGUUGUUAUAAUGCUGUGCCCAAUAUGAUCUCUUGAAGCAUCAGGUUUUGAUGUUCAUUCAAAAGCACUACUUUGCAUUAUUCUUCAGGCUUCACAGAUUAAGACUGUAGAAGGUUACUCAGCUUAAACUUCUCUCCUGCAUCUCUGUUUUUCAAAUUGCUGAAAGUGGAUAUGGUCCAUUCAAGGUUUUGAUAUUUUUAGUGAUUUUUUUUCCUACCAUACAUUUCUAAAGUUCAGAGAAUAUGUGGCGUUUCUACUGUCAUCCUUAUGCAGGUUGCUCUUCACCAGUUGAUCUUUUUCUUGUUUUUGUUGUACUUUUCUAUGAUAUUUGCACUUCAGUCUCUUUCCAUUCAAUAUUUCAUAUUCUUUAGUUUUCUUGUUCAUUACAAUUCAGCUAAGCUUAUGAGUUUAGAAUUUUAAUGAAUAAUUCAGUCCUGUUCUGAGCAUUAUACAGGUAUUACUAGGAGUAAGUGUUCACAUUAUUUUCCAGAAUCAAGCCAAUUCUAGUGUGCAGAAUAAAAGUGAUAUGAAUAGACCGAAUCACAAAAUUUAUGCUAAUUUCUGUUGCAACUCAUUCAUGUAGGCCCCCACUGUAUUUUGAUUUGUUUCUUGACUUGAAAAUCUUAAGUAAGGAAAUGAAGAUUGGUUCUAAGCUGAAAUACUUCACAUGAUUACGGACAUAGAGAGCAUUUUCUCGUAUAUCUAAAUGUACAAGGUUGGAAAUGUUCGUUUAUAUACAUGAUACAUAUGUGAUUCUUAGUUCAGUAAAUCUAGCUUAUUUUUAUAAUUGUCUUUAUAACUAAAUUGUUUUUAAGUAAUGAAAUAGGAUAACUGUAGUAGAAGUUAAAUAAAGAAUAGAGAAGUAAAUGUAUUUUAUUUUCCAG
ensembl:lncRNA